CCUACGGGAGGCAGCAGUGGGGAAUAUUGCACAAUGGGGGAAACCCUGAUGCAGCGACGCCGCGUGAGUGAAGAAGUAAUUCGUUAUGUAAAGCUCUAUCAGCAGGGAAGAAAAUGACGGUACCUGCCUAAGAAGCCCCGGCUAACUACGUGCCAGCAGCCGCGGUAAUACGUAGGGGGCAAGCGUUAUCCGGAUUUACUGGGUGUAAAGGGAGCGUAGACGGCAGUGCAAGUCUGGAGUGAAAGGCGGGGGCUCAACCCCCGGACUGCUCUGGAAACUGUACGGCUGGAGUGCAGGAGAGGUAAGUGGAAUUCCUAGUGUAGCGGUGAAAUGCGUAGAUAUUAGGAGGAACACCAGUGGCGAAGGCGGCUUGCUGGACUGUAACUGACGUUGAGGCUCGAAAGCGUGGGGAGCAAACAGGAUUAGAUACCCCAGUAGUC
rnacentral:rRNA from 1 species